UUUGGGAUACUCAUGUGGGAAGUGAUGAGUUAUGGAGAACGGCCUUACUGGGACAUGAGUGAGCAGGAGGUACUAAAUGCAAUAGAGCAGGAGUUCCGGCUGCCCCCGCCUCCAGGCUGUCCUCCUGGAUUACAUCUACUUAUGUUGGACACUUGGCAGAAGGACCGUGCCCGGCGGCCUCAUUUUGACCAGCUGGUGGCUGCAUUUGACAAGAUGAUCCGCAAGCCAGAUACCCUGCAGGCUGGCAGGGACCCAGGGGAAAGGCCUGGCUUUCAGCCAUUGGACUGGAGUGCUACCAGGACAACUUCUCCAAGUUUGGCCUCUGUACCUUCAGUGAUGUGGCUCAGCUCAGCCUGGAAGACCUGCCUGCCCUGGGCAUCACCCUGGCUGGCCACCAGAAGAAGCUGCUGCACCACAUCCAGCUCCUUCAGCAACACCUGAGGCAGCAGGGCUCAGUGGAGGUCUGAGAAUGACGAUGCCCGUGACUCAGCCCUGGACACUGGUCUGAGGGACAUGUGGGAUGUGAGCCGGGCUCCAACAGCCUCUGUGAGAGAUGCCCCACACCAAACUCAACCCUCCCGAUGGCUGCAUUCUCUGGUCCUCCGCCUCUCCACCAGCCUCCUCCUCAUUAAAUGGAAAGAAGGGAAUUUGC
rnacentral:sRNA from 1 species